AUGGCGAGCUUCUCUUUCUUGAAAGGUUUGGACGUUCACAUUAAUCCAAACAAUAAUAUUACUACUUUGGAGGUGCUUUGGAUUCCUCCUCUUCAAGGUUGGAUAAAGUGCAACAUCGAUGGGGUUGCUAUUGGAUCCCCUAUGACCACUCCGUGUGGAGGAAUCUUUAGAGACUAUGAAGCGAAUCACAUGGAUUAUGUGUUAGACAAAGAAGAUACUCCUAAACUUAGGCUUUGUUAUUAA